CCCCUAGUGUAAGGACAGCCUUGCUGAAAUAACAGGUAAAUGCCCAAUCCCACAACUUCCCCAGUAACAGAUGAAGGCGCUCUCUCCUGAUAAGGACAACGCCACAGCAGAAGGACGGAUGUGACUGGGGCAAAGGCAUCGUAUGAGUUUGUUGUUUGAAGAAUUUACUACAAACAGCUGUUCUGCCCACCGUUCUCUGCCAUACGUGAACUGCACAUAGCAGGAAGCAAUUCUUCACCUGCCAGUUUGGCCCAGCAGCACAGAACUGAACAAGGCAGGUGGGAGGGGGCCGGCUACCCCUGUUUAUGAAAACCCUCACUAAACCCCCUUCUGUGCUGA